rnacentral:rRNA from 1 species
UACGUAGGGUGCAAGCGUUGUCCGGAAUUAUUGGGCGUAAAGAGCUUGUAGGCGGUUUGUCGCGUCUGCUGUGAAAUUUCGGGGCUCAACCCCGAACUUGCAGUGGGUACGGGCAGACUAGAGUGUGGUAGGGGAGACUGGAAUUCCUGGUGUAGCGGUGAAAUGCGCAGAUAUCAGGAGGAACACCCAGGGGGAAACCAGUCGACUGGGCAGCACCUGACGCUGAGGUGCGAGAGCGUGGGGAGCGAACCGG